rnacentral:rRNA from 1 species
AUUGAACGCUGGCGGCAGGCCUAACACAUGCAAGUCGAACGAGUGGCGGACGGGUGAGUAAUGGCUGGGACACUGCCUGAUGGAGCGGGAUAACUACUGGAAACGUUAGCUAAUACCGCAUACCAUCGGAUGUGCCCAGAUGGGAUUAGCUAGUAGGUGGGGUAAAGGCUCACAUAGGCGACGAUCCCUAGCUGGUCUGAGAGGAUGACCAGCCACACUGGAACUGAGACACGGUCCAGCCGCCUACGGGAGGCAGCAGUGGGGAAUAUUGCAGAAUGGGCGCAAGCCUGAGGCCGCCAUGCCGCGUGUAUGAAGAAGGCCUUCGGGUUGUAAAGUACUUUCAGCGGGGAGGCGUUACCCGCAGAAGAAGCACCGGCUAACUCCGUGCCAGCAGCCGCGGUAAUAC